GGCUCAGAACGAACGCUGGCGGCGUGCUUAACACAUGCAAGUCGAACGCACCUUCGGGUUAGUGGCGGACGGGUGAGUAACGCGUGAGAAUCUGCCCUCAGGAGGGGGAUAACGGUUGGAAACGACCGCUAAUACCCCAUAUGCCGAGAGGUGAAAAGAAAUUCGCCUGAGGAUGAGCUCGCGUCUGAUUAGCUAGUUGGUGUGGUAAUGGCGCACCAAGGCUUCGAUCAGUAGCUGGUCUGAGAGGAUGAUCAGCCACACUGGGACUGAGACACGGCCCAGACUCCUACGGGCUGCAGCAGUGGG
rnacentral:rRNA from 1 species